rnacentral:tRNA from 1 species
GGGAACGUGGCUCAGUGGUAGAGCGAUUGCCUUGCAUGCAUGAAGCCCUGGGUUCAAUUCCUCAGCGCCA